AUCCCUGUAGCGCAAGGGACUGCGCGUUGGACUUGUAAUCCAAAAAACGUGGGUUCGAAUCUCACAUGGGAUA